rfam:Sphaerulina musiva SO2202 unplaced genomic scaffold SEPMTscaffold_7, whole genome shotgun sequence.
GGGCGCUUGGUCUAGGGGUAUGAUUUUCGCUUCGCAUCUCCGUUCGUUCGGUCAUCGCAAACUGUGAAAGGUCGUGGGUUCAAUUCCCACAGCGUCCA